GAGGAGGAGUCGCCAUCGCCGUCGUUGACCCUGUCGUCGUCCCCGAUGCCAAUCGCUUCGCCGCUAAGAUGUCAAGACUCCCGCAAGCGAGAUCUUCGCACGAACGCGCAAUCGUCAAAGGAAGGAAAGAACACGAACUCACGACGAGCGUCGAACUCGAGGUCGAUGAGGACCCAAAUCGCAAGAUAACUGCAGAUUGUCAAAUUUGAUUUGGGGCUUAGGGUUAGGACGAAAUCGAUUUGGGGUUUAGGGUUCGGAUGAGAUCGAUUUGGGGCUUAGGGUUAGGACGAAAUCGAUUUGGGGUUUAGGGUUCGGAUGAGAUCGAUUUGGGGCUUAGGGUUCGAACGAAUUCGAUUUGGGGUUUAGGGUUCAGAUGAGAUCGAUUUGGGGCGUAGGGUUCGGACGAAUUCGAUUUGGGGUUUAGGGUUCGGACGAGAUCGAUUUGGG
rnacentral:lncRNA from 1 species